rnacentral:lncRNA from 10 species
GCCCUGGGUUCCUCCCAGUGGUGUGGGAAGGUCGGAGGGUCUCCCUUCCCAGACUCUGUAUUUCAGCCAAGCAGAUCUACCUGAUUCGGGGAGCAGCAAUGAAGAAGCCCAGCCGUUGGGGGAACCUGGUUUAGAGGGGCAGGAACUCAGAGUGGAACAGGAUGAGGGGGCACGGGAUGGGCCUGGAGAUACCGCUGAGCCCCUGUUGGGUGUCUGACCCAUGGCUGACCAGAGAGAUGUAGGUUCUGAGGCCUCCACGUUCCUGUCCACCCGGUGGGAUGACAGCUCAGUGGUCCCUGCAGGUCCUCCGUGGGCCAGAGCUCCGGGCAGGUAGGCGAGGAAGUGACUGCCCCCCAAGUCGGCCUUCCCAGAGUCUCCACCACCCGCCCCUCUUCCCUGAGCCUUCGCUGGGUAGCUUUUAUCACAUUAAGAUGUUUGGCCUGAUGGGGCUUACUCAGCUUCUUGGAGGAACGAAGAAAGGGCCAUUGUUCCCCGUGGCCGCUGCGGUGCAUGCUGACCUAUUUCUGGAGGCAGCGGCAGACCACUGAGGUCACAGGGGCGGCCCACGGAGGUCGAGUCGCAGAGUGAGCCACCUCCUGUGGUGUGUGGGGAAUGUGCAGUCUGAUUUGGGGAGGGGGCAGGGAGGGCCUGUCAGGCCAGGACACUGGCACCAGUCCUCAUGCCUUGAAGCACAUUCUGGACCCGACUGUGUGACUCAGGCCAGUGCUGCCCUUCCGAGCCCCAGUUUCCCCAUCUGCCAGGUGGGGCCACUGGGCUAGGGGGCAGCAGAGGGCUAGUCCAACCGUGACUUCAGCAGAGGGGAUGCACCCUGCAUAUCUGUGCUGGGCCAAGGAAACAGUCUGCUCAGGGAACAUGUCCCUCACUGUGGCAGGCCUCUGCCCAGCUCACUGGUCUCCCUGAAGCAGCACCACCUCCAGGAAGCUCUUCCUGACCAGCCACCCUGGCCCCUGCAAUCUGGACAUCGCCCCACGGCCACGGUACCUGGAUGAUGGCUGGGAAGGGAUGCUUUUAUUUGAUGCAGGCAUUCUCUUGAUCCCGUCUGGCACAUCAGAGGCCAUGGGAAGUGCUUUUGGAUCUCCCUACGCACUGCCAUCUGCCUUGGAGACCCCCUAGGCAGCCCCAUCUUUCCUCUGAGACCUGAGCCACCCGGGACCCCAACACCCCGGGGUGAUCGGCUGCGGCCUGGGUGAAGCCUACUCGCCUCAAGCGCACGGGUGUCCUCACAUCCUCACGACAGGAGAUGAGCGGAAGUGUGCGGCCCUCUCCGGCUCGUUCGGCUCAGCCAGCCCAGCCAAGCAAACCUCGCCCAGGGCCCUGUCUCCUGGCUGAGGCUUCUCAUGGUCACCGGACCUCUAUUCCAUCACAAAUCCUUCGGCUCUCAUCUUCCAAACUCAUCCGGAAUGGAACCUCCUCUGACACCACCAUGGCCACCGCCCUGCCCUGAGCCACCGUGGUCUCUUGCCCGGGGAGACCCAGGUAGCCUCCUGACCGGCCUUCCUCCUCCCACUUCUUCCCCCACUGCCUCUUCUCCAUAGUGGGCCCUGUAAGCCCCAUCCCAUCAUCCCUCUGCUCAAAGCCCAGGGCUCCUGCUUCACAGAGAGCAAAAGGCAAUGCCCUUAACAUAGCUUGCAAUGCCUUGCUCACACUGAACCCCACCCCAGAUCUCAGCUCAUUUCCAAGCUGCAAUCCCCGACCCUGGCUCUCUCCAUCCUCCUUCCUGGCUGGACUGUCUGGUCUUAGCACUUAACAAUACACACAUUCAGCUUGUUCAUCUUGUUGCGGGACUCCCACACCAGAAGAUGGAUUUUGUCUGUCUUGACCCCCCCAUGGUGUCUCUGGCAUGUAAGCCAGUGCCUGACACCGUUCAGUAUGUAGUGGUUGAAUAAAUGGAUGAGUGUGCCCAGGACUGACAGGUCCCCGAAAUUAUAGUUGGGGCUUCCCUUGGGGUCCUGGAGCACACCGAGGGCAUCUGACCCCAGGGCAGGUUGCCUCAGUUUCCUCACCUGUAAAUGGAACUGUAGUGGGGAACAGCUAAGCCCCUGCACAGUUGUAUGGCUCCUCAGGGCCCCGGUGAGGAGGGGCUGGGGUUCUGCAGAGGUCCACCCCUCUGGGAAGCCCAGCCACCUGCAGCCCUGGAGACCAGGGAGGGUCCUGGCUGAGGCUGGGUGAGCAGGGAUUGGUUCCUGAGGAGUUGAGGUUCAUGAUGUCAACUCCUGAGUCACUGAACACACAUCUGGCCCACAAACCCCUGCAGGAGCCGGACUCUCAAGUCAAAGAGAGAGCAGAGGAAGGGCCUGGUCAGCAGACCCAGGGGGGACUCCCACUUUGGAGGAUCUGGGUGUGUUCCUUGGGUUGUGGAUCCGGCAAGGGAGCUGGCCGAGGUUCCUGGGUCAGUAUGAGAGGCCCUGUGAGUCCAGCCGCCGAUGGGGAGGCAGACUUCCCUGGCCGUCUGUCUGUUUGUCCACCCAUAGUGGAGCA